CCUACGGGUGGCAGCAGUGGGGGAUAUUGCACAAUGGGGGAAACCCUGAUGCAGCGACGCCGCGUGAGUGAAGAAGUAUUUCGGUAUGUAAAGCUCUAUCAGCAGGGAAGAAAAAAGACGGUACCUGACUAAGAAGCCCCGGCUAACUACGUGCCAGCAGCCGCGGUAAUACGUAGGGGGCAAGCGUUAUCCGGAUUUACUGGGUGUAAAGGGAGCGUAGACGGCAAUACAAGUCGGAAGUGAAAUACACGGGCUCAACCUGGGAACUGCUUUGGAAACUGUAUGGCUAGAGUGCUGGAGAGGUAAGCGGAAUUCCUAGUGUAGCGGUGAAAUGCGUAGAUAUUAGGAGGAACACCAGUGGCGAAGGCGGCUUACUGGACAGUAACUGACGUUGAGGCUCGAAAGCGUGGGGAGCAAACAGGAUUAGAUACCCUAGUAGUC
rnacentral:rRNA from 1 species